rnacentral:rRNA from 1 species
UACGGAGGGUGCAAGCGUUAUCCGGAUUCACUGGGUUUAAAGGGUGCGUAGGCGGGCAAGUAAGUCAGUGGUGAAAUCUCCGAACUUAACUCGGAAACUGCCGUUGAUACUAUUUGUCUUGAAUAUUGUGGAGGUAAGCGGAAUAUGUCAUGUAGCGGUGAAAUGCUUAGAUAUGACAUAGAACACCAAUUGCGAAGGCAGCUUACUACACAAUUAUUGACGCUGAGGCACGAAAGCGUGGGGAUCAAACAGG